rnacentral:rRNA from 1 species
CCUUCGGGGUGAGUGGCAGACGGGUGAGUAACGCGUGGGAACGUGCCCUUCAGUUCGGAAUAACCCAGGGAAACUUGGGCUAAUACCGGAUACGUGCGAGAGCAGAAAGAUUUAUCGCUGAAGGAUCGGCCCGCGUCUGAUUAGCUGGUUGGUGGGGUAAUGGCCCACCAAGGCGACGAUCAGUAGCUGGUCUGAGAGGAUGAUCAGCCACAUUGGGACUGAGACACGGCCCAAACUCCUACGGGAGGCAGCAGUGGGGAAUAUUGGACAAUGGGCGCAAGCCUGAUCCAGCCAUGCCGCGUGAGUGAUGAAGGCCUUAGGGUUGUAAAGCUCUUUCGUCCGGGACGAUAAUGACGGUACCGGAAGAAGAAGCCCCGGCUAACUUCGUGCCAGCAGCCGCGGUAAUACGAAGGGGGCUAGCGUUGUUCGGAAUCACUGGGCGUAAAGGGCGCGUAGGCGGCUUUGUAAGUCGGGGGUGAAAGCCUGUGGCUCAACCACAGAAUUGCCUUCGAUACUGCAUGGCUUGAGACCGGAAGAGGUUAGUGGAACUGCGAGUGUAGAGGUGAAAUUCGUAGAUAUUCGCAAGAACACCAGUGGCGAAGGCGGCUGACUGGUCCGGAUCUGACGCUGAGGCGCGAAAGCGUGGGGAGCAAACAGGAUUAGAUACCCUGGUAGUCCACGCCGUAAACGAUGAAUGCCAGCCGUUGGCGAGCUUGCUCGUCAGUGGCGCAGCUAACGCUUUAAGCA